GCCUAGUUAGCUUAGUUGGUAGUGCGUCUGCCUUGUAAGCGUUAGGCCGUGGGUUCGAUUCCCGCCCGGGGCG
rnacentral:tRNA from 1 species